CAGUAAAAAAAAAAAAAAAGCGACAGUCGCAAUAGUAAGGCGUGAAAUAAAUAUUAAAAGAAUGCAUAAAUAUGUACUGAAGAAUCGUGAUUGUGAAGUACAAGGUCGGUCAAAUGGAUCACAACUUUUCAAGGUAACUCUCCCUCUACUUUUCGGCUGCAAGAGGACCGGAACAAUGGAAAAAGCGUCAUAACCUUCGUAACCAGUAAAAACUUCUUUGUAAAAUUCGUUUGUCAAGCCCAGAAGCCCUCUGUAACUACCCGAUAUAUCUCCAGUUAGAGCGCUUAUACCUAAAACCAGUUCAAUGUCGGGAACAUUUGUUUCUUUCGUUUCGUUUGAGAUUGAACGAUUCAAAUAAUCGGAAUUUACUGUGAUGGUAGUAAUAUUUGGGGGAAGAGAAGCUGGAAAAUAAGAGAGCAUAUAAUUAAAUACAAAAAUAUGGAUGCGA